CUUCCUCAGUUAUGGAAUGAUUUAUCCUAGCAAAUUGUUGAGGUGUGUGCGCUAUUUAUCAACGACUACCUGCUAGCCUCGUCAACAAUCUUCAAAGUAAGCGACGGAAAGAAAACGUUUUCCAGUUCUAAAAUAUUAAGCCCCCGGUGAGGACGUCAUUACUUAACAAAAGCCGGUUCAACACGCACAGCUCCUGUUCAUGACGUCAUCACUAAACUGAAGCCAGCUGAACACGCGCAGCACGGAUGGUACCCCGAGCGCGGUAGGAGGAAGGAAGAACGAGAGGAGGAAGAACGGUAAAUUUGGAAGGGGGAAAGCAUUCUGCCGUCUACACAGCGGGAGUAUGCCAAAACACAUGUUGGAAGGGAGAGGGAUAUUAUUCAAUAAACAGCAUGCGAAUGUGUGCAUAAAGCAAA